rnacentral:rRNA from 1 species
GAGUGCCGUCCGCUGAGGAUGGCUUUUCUCCGCUGUAAGGAGGCGGAGGAAUAAGGAGAGGGCAAGACUGGUGUCAGCCGCCGCGGUAAUACCAGCUCUCCGAGUGGUAGGGGUGAUUAUUGGGCUUAAAGCGUCCGUAGCCGGCCUGGCAAGUCUUCCGUUAAAUCCAGCAACCUAAUUGUUGGGCUGCGGGGGAUACUGUUAGGCUUGGGGGCGGGAGAGGCCGACGGUAUUCUCGGGGUAGGGGUGAAAUCUUAUAAUCCCGAGAGGACCACCAGUGGCGAAGGCUGUCGGCUAGCACGCGCCUGACGGUGAGGGACGAAAGCUGGGGGAGCGAACCGGAUUAGAUACCCGGGUAGUCCCUGCUGUAAACGAUGCGAGCUAGGUGUUGGGGCGGCUACAAGCCGCUUCAGUGCCGCAGCGAAGGCGUUAAGCUCGCCGCCUGGGGAGUACGGCCGCAAGGCUGAAACUUAAAGGAAU